rfam:Sus scrofa isolate TJ Tabasco breed Duroc chromosome 14, whole genome shotgun sequence.
ACAGGCAGUUGGUACCCUCAUGAUAUCACACAGAGAAGUCACAGGGCAGUACCCGAGGGUCUGU